rnacentral:lncRNA from 1 species
AAAGGCAGUCUUAUUUUAAAGUGGUACCCUUUAGUCUUUAAUCUACAAUGCAGUGUUGUGUCUGCCUUUGCAGGAUGUGGAGGCUAACACGGUGCGUUUGGAGGAGCAUGGGAAGGUGGUGCUGGUACUGGAGAAAAGCUCAGGGCAGGAGUCGCCCCAUCAGGGCGGAUCAGGAAGCGGCAGCAAAUACACAGUGAUGUCAGGAACACCAGAGAAAAUUCUGGAACAUCUCCUGGAGACCAUCAAGCUGGAUACUAAUGGCAGUGAGCCAAUAGAUCCCUGUGUUAGUGACUUCCUUCUCACACAGCAAGUCUUCAUGCCGUCUGCGCAGCUCUGCCCUGCACUGCAGCACCAAUAUCCAAUCAAUAAUCUAUAACAAUUCAAUGCUACUGAUUGGUAUUACUCUUAUUCACACCUCUCCUUCUUUGUGACUGAUAUAGAUCAAUAUUUACAGAUUAGGGGCACUACUGAGUAAGCUGGAGUCACGUUAACCUCAGAGUUUCCAUUCCUUUUGCUUUUUUCCCGUCAAAUUGGGCUUCUUUGAAAAAAUACAGUACAGGUCAAAAGUGUCUCAUUCAGUGUUUUUGUCUUUAUUUAAUUUUUUUUUUGUGUUCAUGCCAGCAGCUCAUUCUUGUUUCUCUGGUACGAAACGAUGCCUGAUCAGAAGCCCAUAACCUAUAGCUAUAACCCACAGCAGCUCAGCCCACCUGGCUCUCCCUCCUGCCCUGCCCCUAAACCCAUACAUCACUGCAGUGCUUCUCCCAAACUACCCCAACCAUUUUUUUAGCAUUUUUCAAAUUUGAGCUGAGGGUUAAGUUAGCUGCAAUCAUAGGUUUUAGUUACCCUUUAAGAAGUAAUAAUAUCUUCGAUAGGCAUAUUGUCGAUAUAGUAAGAAAAUGAUCAAGAUACGAUAAAAUAUCAAUAUAUCGACUAACUGUACAACACAGUGAAUUUUUAAUAAACACAGAAAAAAACUUUAUGAAGGAUUUUUA